rnacentral:rRNA from 1 species
UACGUAGGGUGCAAGCGUUAAUCGGAAUUACUGGGCGUAAAGCGUGCGCAGGCGGUUCUGUAAGACAGAGGUGAAAUCCCCGGGCUCAACCUGGGAACUGCCUUUGUGACUGCGGAGCUCGAGUACGGCAGAGGGGGAUGGAAUUCCGCGUGUAGCAGUGAAAUGCGUAGAUAUGCGGAGGAACACCGAUGGCGAAGGCAGUCCCCUGGGCCUGUACUGACGCUCAUGCACGACAGCGUGGGGAGCAAACAGG